GAUGAACGCUGGCGGCGUGCCUAAUACAUGCCAGUAGAACGCUGAAGGAAGGAGCUUGCUCUUUCCGGAUGAGUUGCGAACGGGUGAGUAACGCGUAGGUAACCUGCCUGGUAGCGGGGGAUAACUAUUGGAAACGAUAGCUAAUACCGCAUAACAGUAGAUGUUGCAUGAUAUCUACUUAAAAGGUGCAAUUGCACCACUACCAGAUGGACCUGCGUUGUAUUAGCUAGUUGGUGAGGUAACGGCUCACCAAGGCGACGAUACAUAGCCGACCUGAGAGGGUGAUCGGCCACACUGGGACUGAGACACGGCCCAGACUCCUACGGGAGGCAGCAGUAGGGAAUCUUCGGCAAUGGACGGAAGUCUGACCGAGCAACGCCGCGUGAGUGAAGAAGGUUUUCGGAUCGUAAAGCUCUGUUGUAAGAGAAGAACGAGGGUGAGAGUGGAAAGUUCACACUGUGACGGUAUCUUACCAGAAAGGGACGGCUAACUACGUG
rnacentral:rRNA from 1 species